ensembl:lncRNA
AAAGGAGGAGGAAAUUGCAUCUAUAUUUAAUUAAUACUGCAUUUAUAUUUUAUUGCGGAGAGCCCUUAGGUGCAGGAAGAUUCUCAGUGAGAACAAUUGCUUCUGAGUGGUGAAGCCAUUGUGUGGUGCUGGGAAGAACUUUGGCAUUAAAAGCGAACCCAAAUUCCUCCCAGGGUAACCUGGGGAAGCUCAGAAACCCUCUGCUGCUUGCCUCCCAUCCUCAGGCUGCAAGAGGGCCCUGCUUGCUGACUCUCCCAAUGACUUUGCUGAGGUUUCCAUGUCCAACUCUUGUGAGGUCCUAAUACAUCAAAAAUCUAUCUUUGGAAGCAUGCUCCCCUGCUCAAACAUUUAAAACACCAGGAUUUCAUCACGGGGCAGACUGAGUGCAAGAAUUCUUCCUGGGUGUUGAAGUUCUGCAACCACCACCACACUGUAGAUAGAAGCUUUACAUAAAAUCAGUAGUCAACAGCUGCGUGAGGGAAUCCCGCUAACAGAAGCUGUGUCAAUGCCAGGGGCAGUUCCAAUUCUAUGCACCAUCAGGACCGGACAGCAACGGGCGGACGGAGAUGGUGGAUGAGAGCUGCCAGGUGCAUGCAACUUCUUGCCCAAGAUUUCCAAGACCUGAUGGUGUGGAGAGCUUUAAAAGAAGGAUCUGAAGGAAAGCAGUGAUGCAACUUCGUGGGUGCCUCUUGCUGUGAUUUAGUGCUGUCUGUGCUCAGGCACCAGCUCAGCCUGCAGCCAGGCAUCACUUCUAUCACUAAAGUAGUGCUGCACACUGUGUGGAUAUCCCACAGACUAGUCAAAAGAGGACAAAGCAUCUCUCCUCUCACUUGGAGUACAGCAUGCACCAGUAACUUGCAUGAGAAUUGUAUUACCCAGAACCUGCAUGAUGACUUCACACACCACAAAAUAUGGGCAGUCACAGGAGUGCAACUGCAGGGGCCCUCCUUGGCUUUCUUCAGAUCACAGUUUGCCAGCUCCCAUCCCAGAAAUGUGAGUCCUGAGAAUGACUGCAGAAACUUUUACUUGUCUGAGCUCCAGGAGUAUUUAUGUAAUUUAAUCGAUGAACUGCACUGAUUUAUUUGCACUAAGUAACUCCUUGGGAUCUGGAUAAUAGAUAAGGGUGUGCACAGUGCUGUACAAACACAUCAUAAAUAAAUGCAGCUUGCAAAUCAAUUGUCAGAUAUUGAUGAUUAAUCUCCUUAUAGUAAAAUAAUGUUACAUCUGUCCAUUAUGGCUUUUUUUUCUUUUCUUUUUUUAAUUUUAA